rnacentral:rRNA from 1 species
UACGAAGGGGGCUAGCGUUGCUCGGAAUCACUGGGCGUAAAGCGCACGUAGGCGGCUUGUUAAGUCAGGGGUGAAAUCCUGGAGCUCAACUCCAGAAUUGCCUUUGAUACUGGCGAGCUUGAGUCCGGGAGAGGUGAGUGGAACUGCGAGUGUAGAGGUGAAAUUCGUAGAUAUUCGCAAGAACACCAGUGGCGAAGGCGGCUCACUGGCCCGGUACUGACGCUGAGGUGCGAAAGCGUGGGGAGCAAACAGG